UACGUAGGGGGCUAGCGUUGUCCGGAAUCAUUGGGCGUAAAGAGCGUGUAGGCGGCCCGGUAAGUCCGCUGUGAAAGUCGGGGGGCUCAACCCUCGAAUGCCGGUGGAUACUGUCGGGCUAGAGUGCGGAAGAGGCGAGUGGAAUUCCUGGGUGUAGCGGUGAAAUGCGCAGAUAUCGGGAGGAACACCAGUAGCGAAGGCGGCUCGCUGGGCCAUUCCUGACGCUGAGACGCGAAAGCUAGGGGAGCGAACAGG
rnacentral:rRNA from 1 species